rnacentral:rRNA from 1 species
UACAGAGGUCUCAAGCGUUGUUCGGAUUCAUUGGGCGUAAAGGGCGCGUAGGCGGAUGUUUAAGUCAGCGGUGAAAGCCCAGGGCUCAACCUUGGAACUGCCAUUGAUACUGGACAUCUUGAGUACGGGAGAGGUGAGUGGAACACCGAGUGUAGAGGUGAAAUUCGUAGAUAUUCGGUAGAACACCAGUGGCGAAGGCGACUCACUGGCCCGUUACUGACGCUGAGGCGCGAAAGCGU